rnacentral:siRNA from 1 species
AUGCUCAAAGGUGAACUUGGUACC